UGUGCUGCACUGCUGCGCGAGACGCGGAGACGCGGAGACGCGGAGGGAGGGCAUCGGACCUCGACAAAGUCUCCCACCCUGAUAUUUUGUUUUAUUCAAUAAAUAUAUUUGUUUGACAGGGAAGCUGUGCGCAAAAGGAAUAAAUUCAUAUUUUGUUACAGAUUUGGCGGAAACAACUUCCAGAAGAAAAUGGGGGGAACAGAAAGUUCAAUUGAGACAGAGGGAGAAAUGGAUAGAAGAGCGGUGGAACUGGACAAAAGGGAGCUGGAACUGGACAAAAGGGAGCUGGAACUGGAAAAAAGGGCGAUGGAAGAGAAUAAGGCUGAAGCAAUGAAUCCUGUGCAACACAUCCAAGAAUCAGAGACGCCUAACAGUAAGAAUUAUGAUCGCGGUGGCUGCUUCAUUAAAAUGGACCAAGCUAACAUCAACUGUAACGACUGUCAGGGUUUGAUCUUCCUUCUGUUUUCCUCUUUCUUUGUUUGUGUUUCUGUCUUUUCCAUGUGUGUUCGCGCACAGCUGUUUGUGUUUCACAAUCAGCACUUCCGCUCUUUUGAGCUCACCUGUCUCCCCUUAUUGCUUGAUUUCUCUGCUGUAUCUGUGCUUCCUUUCUCUUUGUUCUCUGCCAGUGUGUUCUGUGUUUCUUGUUGUUCACCUGUAAGUUUUUCCUUGUCUAGUAUUGUUAUUUUUUGGUUUUGUUUUCUUUUUAUCUCACAUAUGUUUUCUCUGCCCAGUUUGCGGUCCAAUUGCCGUUUCCUCUCUAGAAUCCACUGAUCUUGGACAAUUCUGUUGCUGCUGACCAUUUGGACUGUUACUGGUGCUGGAGUUUGGAUGUGAACACCUGCCUGAUUCUGAUUAUUUGAUUGCCCAGGACUCUGACCCCUGCCUGCCUGCCCAUUCUCCUCUCUACUGUCCAGAGCUGAUUCUUCAUCAAUUCACAUCAAGUUACAGUACAAUGUGAAAUCGUAAUUGAAGAUAAGAGGGUGCUAAAAGGGUGGCACCACAACUUCAAAAGUGGUGGAGCAAAAUGUUGUGAUUUUGGGGUGUAGUGGGGAAUAUUAUUUUGUGAUUCUGAAUGCUUUACAACAAGGUUACCUCAAAUAACAAAAAACUCCUGUACACUUCUCAUCAGAGCUAAUUACAAAACACAGUGCCUCAGGGCUUUAAUCCAACUCUACCUCAAAUUUCUUUAUAGAGAACCCCUGCCCCAUUUUUACCCAAAACGGGGUGAUGUGAGCAUAAUGGGGCACUAAAAACACUCAUGUAAUAUGUGUUUCGUUCAUACUGGUAGCCGGAGGCGCCCUCAUGCCAAAAAGUCCAAGACUCAGAAAUAAUAAUACUUUGUGAGGUUACAAGAAAUCCUUUAUAUGGACAAAGGCAUCCAGCUUUCACAGCUCAAUAUAGCAGAUAGAAAUAUUUUGACUGAUAAAACAACAGGAAAUAAACACACGAUUGUGAGAGUGUAUGAUUUAUGUGCUUUUCAAGCCAUCUCGGGUAUUUUCAUAAGAAUCUUAAUUCUUAAUGUUAUAUUAUAAUGCAGUGCUAAUUGACAAUUUUUACUUAACCAUUCAUGGCUUAUUUUGAUUUAAUUCUGUCAGCUUCAGUCUAGCAAGAUGUUCCACUCAAUGUUAUGUGUAGCUAAACAUUAACUAUUGGCUGUAGCCUGCAUCCACCAGAUCAUGAAGGGAGCAUGCAUUACUUCAGGAACUACGGUGGACUUCAUAUAGCAUGAAUUGCUGCCAACGCUCAACUGGACAACAGCCAAAAAUCGAUGUCAUCGCAACACCUCAAUCAUAGCAAGUUAGACUGCAAACCUUUAUGACCGCUGCCUGCAUCGCCUCGUCAAUCAAUAUGGUAAUAUCCUUACAGAUACUUAAGGGGAUAGUUCACCCAAAAAUGUUAUUUCUAUCAUCAUUUACUCACCCUCAUGUCGUUCCAAACCUAUAUGAGUUUCUUCUGUUGAACACAAAAGAAGAUAUUUUUAAGAAUGUUGGUAACCAGACAGUUGAUGGUAGCCAUUGACUUCCAUGUUUUUCCUACUAUGGAAGUCAAUGGCUACCAUCAACAACUUGAGGGUUACUGUUUGAUCAAUAUCCUUUAGUUCAUAUGAGCUGAAUUUACCUAAUAUAUGACUUCAGGGCAGCCGUGACCUAAUGACUAGAGAAUCAGACUGGUAACCUGAAGGUCACCGGUUUGAAUCUCAGUACAGGCAUGAAAUAACUGAGACGCUCUCAAGCAACACACUGAACCCCCAAUCGCUCAAUGAGAGCCACAGGGUGUUUGUGUGUGUGUGUUCACUAUUCACUGAUCACUUCACAUGUCACUUUCACUUUUCUCUUGACUUGUACUAAACCUAGCUAACUAGCAUCAGCACUGUAUAGUUGAGAAAACUAUGUAAAGAUGCUUUGGAAAACUGCAUUGUGGAAAGAACUAUGUAAAUUAAAUUUGACAAUUUGUGAUUACAAAAUUAGUAAUCUACACUAAGAACAGUCUCUGCUUCCAAUAAACCAGACGACUACUACUA